rnacentral:misc_RNA from 1 species
UCCGGUUUGGCACCGGCAGUCCCUCUAGAGUUCCCUAUUUCUAGGGCGUUCUCGCAUAUGUCAAGCCUUGGUAAGGUUCUUCGCGUUGCAUCGAAUUAAUCCGCAUGCUCCGCCGCUUGUGCGGGCCCCCGUCAAUUCCUUUGAGUUUUAGCCUUGCGGCCGUACUCCCCAGGCGGGGCGCUUAAUGCGUUAGCUACGACACGGAAACCGUGGAAAGGUCCCCACAUCUAGCGCCCAACGUUUACGGCGUGGACUAC